rnacentral:rRNA from 1 species
UACGAAGGGGGCUAGCGUUGCUCGGAAUCACUGGGCGUAAAGCGCACGUAGGCGGAUUGUUAAGUCAGGGGUGAAAUCCUGGAGCUCAACUCCAGAACUGCCUUUGAUACUGGCGAUCUUGAGUCCGGGAGAGGUGAGUGGAACUGCGAGUGUAGAGGUGAAAUUCGUAGAUAUUCGCAAGAACACCAGUGGCGAAGGCGGCUCACUGGGCCGAUUCUGACACUGAGGAGCGAAAGCGUGGGGAGCGAACAGG